ACUCCUGUCACAGGCACAACUUCUCAUGCAGAUGAGGACGCAACAAGUGUGGCACAAGAAUCUCUAUUGACUUAAGUUUCAUCAAAGACGCACCAUGAGGAUGAAAGGAUGUGCUUUUAUUUUUGUGAUCAUGGCAAUUUCUGAAACAUUCUCCUUAAACCCAAAUGGGCUAGAAAUAGUGGAUGUUGGUGAAGAAAAGGACAUUCCUG